GAUGAACGCUAGCGGCAGGCUCAAUACAUGCAAGUCGAGGGGUAGCAAGAUUGUAGCAAUACAAUUGUUGACGACCGGCAAACGGGUGCGGAACACGUACACAACCUUCCUACAAGUGGGGAAUAGCCCAGAGAAAUUUGGAUUAAUACCCCGUAACAUAGCGAUGUGGCAUCACAUUGCUAUUAUAGCUUCGGCGCUUGUUGAUGGGUGUGCGGCUGAUUAGAUAGUUGGCGGGGUAACGGCCCACCAAGUCUACGAUCAGUAGCUGAUGUGAGAGCAUGAUCAGCCACACGGGAACUGAGACACGGGCCCGACUCCGACGGGAGGCAGCAGUAAGGAAUAUUGGACAAUGGACGCAAGUUUGAUCCAGCCAUGCCGCGUGAAGGAUUAAGGUCCUCUGGAUUGUAAACUUCUUUUAUAAGGGACGAGAAAAGGUCUUUCUAGAUCGUCUGACGGUACCUUAUGAAUAAGCACCGGCUAACUCCGUGCCAGCCGCCGCAGUAAGAC
rnacentral:rRNA from 1 species